rnacentral:rRNA from 1 species
UCCGUUGGUGAACCAGCGGAGGGAUCAUUACCGAGUUUACAACUCCCAAACCCAAUGUGAACCAUACCAAACUGUUGCCUCGGCGGGGUCACGCCCCGGGUGCGUCGCAGCCCCGGAACCAGGCGCCCGCCGGAGGGACCAACCAAACUCUUUUCUGUAGUCCCCUCGCGGACGUUAUUUCUUACAGCUCUGAGCAAAAAUUCAAAAUGAAUCAAAACUUUCAACAACGGAUCUCUUGGUUCUGGCAUCGAUGAAGAACGCAGCGAAAUGCGAUAAGUAAUGUGAAUUGCAGAAUUCAGUGAAUCAUCGAAUCUUUGAACGCACAUUGCGCCCGCCAGUAUUCUGGCGGGCAUGCCUGUCCGAGCGUCAUUUCAACCCUCGAACCCCUCCGGGGGGUCGGCGUUGGGGACCUCGGGAGCCCCUAAGACGGGAUCCCGGCCCCGAAAUACAGUGGCGGUCUCGCCGCAGCCUCUCCUGCGCAGUAGUUUGCACAACUCGCACCGGGAGCGCGGCGCGUCCACGUCCGUAAAACACCCAACUUCUGAAAUGUUGACCUCGGAUCAGGUAGGAAUACCCGCUGAACUUAAGCAUAUCAAUAAGCGGAGGAA